rnacentral:rRNA from 1 species
GUGGGGAAUAUUGGGCAAUGGGCGAAAGCCUGACCCAGCAACGCCUCGUGAAGGAAGAAGGUUUUCGGAUCGUAAACUUCUAUCCUUGGUGAAGAUAAUGACGGUAGCCAAGAAGGAAGCCCCGGCUAACUACGUGCCAGCAGCCGCGGUAAUACGUAGGGGGCAAGCGUUGUCCGGAAUGAUUGGGCGUAAAGGGCGCGUAGGCGGCCCGGUAAGUCUGAAGUGAAAGUCCUGCUUUUAAGGUGGGAAUUGCUUUGGAUACUGUCGGGCUUGAGUGCAGGAGAGGUAAGCGGAAUUCCCGGUGUAGCGGUGAAAUGCGUAGAGAUCGGGAGGAACACCAGUGGCGAAGGCGGCUUACUGGACUGUAACUGACGCUGAGGCGCGAAAGUGUGGGGAGCAAACAGGAUUAGAAACCCGAGUAGUCC